GACGAACCGUGCGAACGUUGUUCGGAAUCACUGGGCUUAAAGGGCGCGUAGGCGGCUCGCCAAGUCCGGGGUGAAAGCCUCCAGCUCAACUGGAGAAGUGCCUUGGAAACUGGCGAGCUCGAGCGAGGUAGGGGUCGUGGGAACUUCCGGUGGAGCGGUGAAAUGCGUUGAUAUUGUAAGGAACACCCGUGGCGAAAGCGGCUCACUGGGUCUUUUCUGACGCUGAUGCACGAAAGCUAGGGGAGCAAACGGG
rnacentral:rRNA from 1 species